CGUAAAUUUAGAAAACUCAAAAGUUUAAAACUCCUCCUACAACAUGAUCGUCAUCAAUCCAGAACGAGCUUUUGCAGUGUUAAAGCGCCACGACGCCCGUAAGGUGCCUUUAACUGUUGAACCAAACGCUUCUUCCAAUCUUGAUACUCACAAAUAGAACAAAAUGCCACAAGCGGGAGAGACGAAAAACCUAAUUACGACAUAUUUAAUUUUGGUGGCUCUGCUAUUUGCCCUCUGGAUGCUUUACACCGGCCUGUUCUAAGCAUGUAAACGAUCAACAUCAAAGACGAGUUAGAAAAAUGGAUGCAAGAAAGACAAUAUACAUACGUUAAAACAUUAGUUGCUGCAAAAGUCCCCCGUCAUCGAUCAUCAUGAUUCAUAAACAACUUGCCUAACAUGAUGUGUACAUGUGCAUUUGUAUUUUUAUAAAAAAAAUAAGACACUACCCUAGAAUGUUUUUAUUUAAUUUUUAAGGAGAUUGUUAAGUGGAUCAAUAAAUCGUUAAUUUUUCUAAAUA